rnacentral:rRNA from 1 species
ACUGAGCCAUGCGAGUCGUUGUAGCAAUACAAGGCAUACGGCUCAGUAACGCGUAGUCAACCUAACCUAUGGACGGGAAUAACCUCGGGAAACUGAGAAUAAUGCCCGAUAGAACAUUAUGCCUGGAAUGGUUUAUGUUCCAAAUGAUUUAUCGCCAUAGGAUGGGACUGCGGCCUAUCAGUUUGUUGGUGAGGUAAUGGCCCACCAAGACUAUUACAGGUACGGGCUCUGAGAGGAGUAGCCCGGAGAUGGGUACUGAGACACGGACCCAGGCCCUAUGGGGCGCAGCAGGCGAGAAAACUUUGCAAUGUGCGAAAGCACGACAAGGUUAAUCCGAGUGAUUUCUGCUAAAGAGAUCUUUUGUUAGUCCUAGAAACACUAACGAAUAAGGGGUGGGCAAGUUCUGGUGUCAGCCGCCGCGGUAAAACCAGCACCUCAAGUGGUCAGGAUGAUUAUUGGGCCUAAAGCAUCCGUAGCCGGCUCUGUAAGUUUUCGGUUAAAUCUGUACGCUCAACGUACAGGCUGCCGGGAAUACUGCAGAACUAGGGAGUGGGAGAGGUAGACGGUACUCGGUAGGAAGUGGUAAAAUGCUUUGAUCUAUCGAUGACCACCUGUGGCGAAGGCGGUCUACCAGAACACGUCCGACGGUGAGGGAUGAAAGCUGGGGGAGCAAACCGGAUUAGAUACCCGGGUAGUCCCAGCUGUAAACUAUGCAAACUCAGUGAUGCAUUGGCUUGUGGCCAAUGCAGUGCUGCAGGGAAGCCGUUAAGUUUGCCGCCUGGGAAGUACGUACGCAAGUAUGAAACUUAAAGGAAUUGGCGGGGGAGCACCACAAGGGGUGAAGCCUGCGGUUCAAU